CAGCUCAAACUUUGACUACACAAUUUCCAUCUCAGACAAUAUGUUACACAGAUACUCUUUUGUUUAUUUUAAAGGAACGUCAUGAGAAAACAAACACUAACCAUUCCAAGUAUAAACAAAUAGCUAAACCAUCAUACAGUAUCAGAAAUCAGAAACCCUUUCAAGAGUUAAAGACAAACUAGGCAAUUAUACAUUACCAUUUAGAUUAACCAGUAAAAGAAAAGAAAAGUAGAGCAAAUAUUGGACAAUUUUACAGGCAUAUUGAUAAAACAUUACAAGGCUAGAGAGAACAUCUUGAAAAUAAUACAGUACCACCCAGAAACUAUUACAAUGAUAUUAGACAAUCUAGACAAUAAUGCAGUACCUGAUUUAGAAACCAGCAA
rnacentral:lncRNA from 1 species